rnacentral:rRNA from 1 species
UGCAGAAGCAUUAGAGAUCGUCGCUGGCCUUUGGAAACGAAGGCAUGUGCACGUCUCGACCCUCUGCUCGGUCCUCGUUCUCUUUCCUUUCGUAAAUCUUUGACACCCGUGCACCUCUUGUAGGUCCCUGAGAGGGGACCUAUGUCUUCAUAAACUCUUCGUAUGUCCAGGAAUGUAUCUAAAGCGUCGACCGGCUUGGCUGAACGUCCAGUCGGCGACGGUAAAGAACGUAAUACAACUUUCAGCAACGGAUCUCUUGGCUCUCGCAUCGAUGAAGAACGCAGCGAAUUGCGAUAAGUAAUGUGAAUUGCAGAUUUUCAGUGAAUCAUCGAAUCUUUGAACGCACCUUGCGCUCCUUGGUAUUCCGAGGAGCAUGCCUGUUUGAGUGUCAUUUAAUUCUCAACCAUCCCUCGAUUGAUUUUUUUCGAGGUUUGGCUUGGAUUUUGGGAGCUGCCGGCGACCGGAUCGGGUCCUUGGCUCUCCUCAAAAGCAUUAGCGACGGUGGUGUGACCUCCCCCGUGCAUGAACGGCCUUCGACGUGAUAAUGAUCGUCGUGGGCUGGAGUGCUAGCGGGCGUCGCGUCGCGUUCGGCGCUUCUAAU